rnacentral:rRNA from 1 species
CAGGGUUAGCCGGCCCCUAAGACGAGGCGGACACGCGUAGUCGAUGGGAACCACGUUAAUAUUCGUGGGCCUGGUGGUAGUGACGGAUCGCUUAACUUGUUCACACUUAUUGGAUUGUGUGGGCGGGAACGCGGUUCCAGGAAAUAGCUCCACCGUAUAGACCGUACCCGAAACCGACACAGGUGGUCAGGUAGAGUAUACCAAGGCGCUUGAGAGAACUAUGCUGAAGGAACUCGGCAAAUUGCACGCGUAACU